GCGCAUGAAAGCAGUAAUGCGCUUCGGGAGGGGCCGUGCGUCCCAUUAGCUAGUUGGUAGGGUAAAAGCCUACCAAGGCGACGAUGGGUAGCUGGAUCGAGAGGUUGACCAGCCACACUGGGACUGAGAUACGGCCCAGACUCCUACGGGAGGCAGCAGUAAGGAAUCUUCCACAAUGGACGAAAGUCUGAUGGAGCAACACCGCGUGCAGGAUGACGGCCUUAGGGUUGUAAACUGCUUUUAUAGAUGAAGAUUAUGACGGUAAUCUAUGAAUAAGGACCGGCUAACUACGUG
rnacentral:rRNA from 1 species